GGUAGGUAAUACGUGAAGCAAUAGUAAGUUUGAACCAGUGCGGUCACAGAAAGCAACAACGGCAACCUGACGGGGACAUCUCUGGUGAGGCAAAUGAUCAUCUGGAUCAACAGCAAGAGUCCAAACGUGUUGCCGCUUAUGAAGCCAAUGUAUGCUAUGUCCCUACCAAGAGGAUGAGUCACCCAAGAAGAAUAGUAUGCAAGGAAGCCUUUCGCUGAAUCAUAAGUGACUUUUAUCAUAAAACUUGGAGGCUGAAGCACAGCUUGGUAGGUCGUGCUUGCAAUGAGCGCGACAACAACUAGCAGGGUGUUACGCACAUCGCCUAUUGACUCUUUUUCUUGGUUGACAAUGAAGGAUUGGGUCCUUAGACUGUAUAUAUCCCCUUGGAAAUUAAACCCAGAAAGCUGUUUCAACCAAAAAUCUAAAGCUGGCACCAACCGCCUCUGUAACAGUAGAAGAAGAAUCGACAUUGUUACCGGCAGCACACUCAACAAUUCGACAUUUUUCAGACCAGACGCUUUGUUCAGUAAGGUGAACGGUAGGAAAUAUGUGAAGCAAUAGUAAGUUUGCACCAGUGCAGUCACAGACAGCAACAACAACAGCUUGACGGGGUGACCUCUGGUGAGGCAAUUGAUCAUCUGGAUCGAUAGCAAGAGUCCAAAUGUGUUGCCUCUUAUGAAGCUAAUGUACACCAUGUCCCUGCCAAGAGGAUGAGUCACCCAAGAAGAAUAAUAUGCAAGGAAGCCUUUCAUUGAAUUAUCAGCAACUUUUAUCGUAAAUCUUGGAGGCUGAAGCACAGCUUGGUAGGUCGUGCUUGCAAUGAGCGUGGCAACGACUAGCAGGGUGUUACGCACGUUGCCUAUUGACUCUCUUUCUUGGUUAACAACGAAGGAUUGGGUCCUCAGAUUGUACAUUUCCCCUAGAAGGUUAAACCGAGAAAGCCUUUCCAAGCAAAAACUAAAGCUAGUGCCAACUGCCUCUGUGCCAGUAGAAGAUGAAUUGACAUUGUUACCGGGAGCAUGCUUAACAAUUCCACGUUUUUUAGACCAAACGUUUUGUC
rnacentral:lncRNA from 1 species